rnacentral:sRNA from 1 species
UUUAUCUGCAGAUGAUUUGCGGAUUAAUCUUUGGCAUCUGGAAAUUACAGACAGGAGUUUUAACAUUGUGGAUAUCAAGCCUGCCAAUAUGGAAGAGCUAACAGAAGUGAUUACAGCGGCAGAAUUUCAUCCAAACAGCUGUAACACAUUUGUAUACAGCAGCAGUAAAGGAACUAUUCGGCUAUGUGACAUGAGGGCAUCUGCCCUCUGUGAUAGACAUUCUAAAUGUAAGUUUAUUGUAUCUUUCCUUAAAAUGAUUACAUAUUCUGUUUGUCUGAAAUAAGCCUCAGACAUGAUAAGUACAAUUACAGAGGUUUACAAGUCUUAAACCCGUGUGUCCAGAGCCACUUGUACCCUUGGUAAUCUGCCUGCCUCCUCAUGAGGCAUUCCAGGUUAUUCCUGGAAGCUCUCUUGGGGGGCACGUCUAUUGAUUGCCAAGGAAUAUAUUUCUCAUGGAAUGCUGCUGUUCUUUGGUAAUUUGUGGUUGGGCUCUGUAACCUUGUAUUGAAGUAGAGCUGUUCCUUUCUUUCCCAUCCUCCCUUCCUACUUUGAGCUUCCUAGGAAGAUUUCUUCUGAGGUUUUCUUGGCUUAAAAAAAAAAAACAACUUUGGUUUAAAAACUUCAGGAUACAAUAUUCUUGUCUUGUUGAAUAUUAACUCAUGAAAAUUGAUACAUGCCUGUUACCAAAAUAAUUUUACCUGGCUACUAGAAAAUAAAAUCCUGGUAUGAAUUUGGGAUGGGCGAGGAUGGCGUGUUUCUCAUGGUGAUGAUAUAGGCAGUCAGUGAGGCGUAUUGCAGGAAUAAUACCAAUAAACCUGGUGCACUGAAGUCAGAAGUCCCAGGUGAGUCUGGUUCUAAAUUAGUCAUAUGACUGGAAGUAUACUGCAUACUUACGCAUCUUCAACUUCAAUAUUCAAUUAUCCUAAGAAGCUUUCAGGAGAAUUCUAGCCAGAGAGAUGUUUUUCAGUUCUUUAUAUUAGCCUGGCAUUUUACCUCACUUGUAGGGAGUUCGUGAAUGGUUGUUUAGGAAAUGCUUUGUCCAAGCCAGAAUAUUGUACACCUUGCCCUUUUUGUGUUGUUUUGUUUUGUUUUUAGUGUUUGAAGAACCUGAAGAUCCCAGUAACAGGUCAUUUUUUUCCGAAAUCAUCUCCUCUAUUUCGGAUGUAAAAUUCAGCCAUAGUGGUCGAUAUAUGAUGACUAGAGACUAUUUGUCAGUCAAAAUUUGGGACUUAAAUAUGGAAAACAGGCCUGUGGAAACAUACCAGGUGCAUGAAUACCUCAGAAGUAAACUCUGUUCACUGUAUGAAAAUGACUGCAUAUUUGACAAAUUUGAAUGUUGUUGGAAUGGAUCUGACAGUGUUGUCAUGACUGGAUCUUACAAUAAUUUCUUCAGAAUGUUUGACAGAAACACAAAGCGAGACAUAACCCUAGAAGCAUCGCGGGAAAACAAUAAGCCUCGCACAGUUCUGAAGCCUCGCAAAGUCUGUGCAAGUGGCAAGCGAAAGAAAGAUGAAAUAAGUGUUGACAGCCUAGACUUCAAUAAGAAAAUCCUUCACACAGCCUGGCACCCCAAGGAAAAUAUCAUUGCCGUAGCUACUACAAACAAUCUGUAUAUAUUUCAAGACAAAGUGAAUUAGGGUUGGCAUUCCUAGCAGAAGAACCCACUUCCUGCUUAGUUGAGAUAGUUGAAUCUAGCAUUCGUUCCUAUAAAAGAGAGAGGUCCAUUGUGGCGCCCCUUUCCAGUGUUUGACAGUGUGCCAUUCGACAACACAUUGUUAUAGCUACAUGGAGAAAGCUCUGUGGAUUCAUCACUGUGGUGUUCUCCAUGUCUGCUAGCCAUUUAGGUAAGGGUAGGGCACUUUUAAUUUAAAUGACUUCUUGCACCAUCUUGCCUAAUGGACUAGAUUGGACUGUAUCAACAUUGAUUUACUCCACUUUUUAUGCCUUCCAUUGUGAUGACGUCAAACACAGUGAAAGCCUUCAGUCAUGCUAUGGGAUUUAAUUGUGUAUCCUCAUUACUGUAUCAUUUGUGGGGUACACCCCUUCCCCCUUUUUUUAAAUUAAAUACAGCUCAUUCUUACUGUGGCUUGUAGCAUUCCUCCUCUUCUGGCCUCCUGGACUCCUCCCCUUCAUCUCUCUUACCCUUGCCCCCUCCACCCGGUCUUGGUGGUGGUAUAUUAAAAAAAGAAAGAAUGAAAGCACACGAAAUGAGUCAGUUUGGGGUCAGUGGUAUAAAGGGGGUAUAUGUUGCGAACAAAUGUUUUAAUAACAGUUGGCUGUAAUCACUCCUCGCCGUGUCUGGCACUGAAAAUAAGGAAAAAAAAAAACCUACUACUGAAUAAAAGUGACAAAGAAUGG